GCAUGGUUCCUCUGACAACAAUGAAAAGGAAAGAUGCUUGACUUUCUCCACGGAAACAUCAAGAAAACUUCUGCCACAGACGCACAGAGACAGCAGUACGGGUAUUUGCCGGCAUGCGUACAUGUACCACGUGGAUGCCCAUCGCCUAUGAAUUCCCUGGAACUGGAAUUACAGACGGUUGUAAGCUGCCAUUGUGAAUACUGAAAGUUGAACACCUACCGUUCCUAACGGUACCGUUCCCCCUUGGGCUGGCUCCCUUGUUUCCAGGUCUGUGGCGAAGCAGGACCUCAUGGUGUAAGAGUUUGAUGGAACAGAGCUGCUUCCCUCAUGGCAGCUGCGGGAUGCGGGGAGGAGAGGAGAGAGAACAUGAUAUACCCCGAAGGUCUUGUUCCCAGCAUUCUCCUUCCUGCGUUCAACUCCACUCUAUCUCCUCCUGAGUGUCCAUUGCCUCCUAACCACUCAUCAUAUCAUGAGCUAGUCAGUGGAUUCACCCACUGACACCGCCCUGAUGAUUCAGCCAUCUCCCAGGAGACUUACCUGUGAUCGUCGCUGCAGUGGGGGCCCAGGCUUUCAACACACAAGACCAUAGGGGUCUUUUCAGGUGCAAACCAGAACAAAUGACUGAAAUGUUCAGAUAUCAAGGGCUGGAGGUUUCUGCCUCUGCCUCCUGAGUGCUGUGAUUAUGGCUCUCAGGAAAGGUUUUCAAUGUAUAUCCAGGCUAGCCUUGAAGCGCCAGCUCCAUUGAGCUUCCUGUCCCAGGCUUAUGGUAGUAGCUCAGACUACUAACUAGUACCACAGAGAGCACAUGGAGGUCAGAGGUCAAUCUUCAGGGGUCAGCGCUCACCUUCCGUCUUGUUUGAGGCAGGGUCUCUCUUGUUACUGCUGCUUGGGCAGCUACACCAGGCUGACUGGCUGAUGAGCUGAUUUUGCUGUCUCUGUUUCUCAUGAAGGAGUGCUGAGGUUAUUGUCAGCCAGCUUGGUACAGGGGUUUCCUAGAUUUGAACUCGGGUUGUCAGGCUUAUGAUUAUGCUGCAAGAACUUUACCCACUAAGCCAUCUCCCAAGCCCAGCUCUGUGGUUGUUUGUUUAAUAGGCUUUUUAAAUGAUUUAAUAGUUUGUUUAAGCAGAUGGGGUGAGUGAAACUAAGAACUAGUAGAAAGAUUACAAUUGUGGCUUUCAGGUCUGUCGUGCUUUGUCUUCUAAUGUGUAGUUCAGAGAUAUAAAUAAUAAGUGUGUGUUCUAGGGCUGAGUGUGCGGUUCAGCUGUAAGAGCUUUGUCCAGGGUCCAAACAUGCCUCUGAGUUUGGGGACAGCUGUGCUCGGUCUCUCCUUUGCCUGGAAACUGAACUUCAUGGGUGAAUGUGGGGCUCACUUGGGACCACUCUUCUGGUCCCCAAGUCUCGUACUCAGGCCCCCCUCUCAGGGAAAUGACAGAUUUCAUCCCUGAUAAGGGCCCUCCAGGCUUCGGCACCCUCACGCCCUAGGUGUGGCUGAUGGCAUGGUAAUUCUCCGCCAGCACCUCUCCAGGUGGCUUCACAACUACCCGUCAGCUGACCACUUCCUCCAGCCAGGGCCCCCAAGAGCCUUUCAUCCCCCCACAGCCUUUCAUCUGAGCCUUUUAAAGUAAGUGAAAAGUUGCAGCGACCAAAGCCCGCAGGGAAGUAGGGAAGGAAACAGGUACGCUUCCUUAAGCGGCUAAGAGUGGCAGUCUGUGCCCUGCUCCAGGCUGCAGAGUUGCCAAUGCGUGGCCGGGUGUUUGGUUCCUCUGAGAACAGACUAGUUGAGAGACAUCCUCGUGGGGCUGAGGGAAGCCCUCUGUGUCUUCCAGGAAAGUGGCGAACCAGACAUAGUCUCGUUCUUGGAUGGGCUCUGAUGUACCCUCUCUACUGUAGCAGGCUGAGUGGGCGCUUUCCUCUCUCCCUCUGCAGCCUCAUGAGCUUGAGGCCCCAGAUCCUCCUACAGCCACUGCCUCAACCUCCGAGGCCAGACCUGUCCUGAGAUCUCCUGAGCCUGGAGUGCCUCCCACCAGGAGCUCACAGACCAGAUGGAAGCCCAAACCAGCCCACCUGGAGGGGGGGGGCACCUACUUUGCAAAGCAGUGGGCUUUGUACAUGAGACGUGUCAGACUUGGAUGGCCUGGGUGGGCACUUUGCCAGGGGCCUAGCCAGGUGGUGGUCAGGGUAGGUGAUGGAGCUGUAGGCUAAAGUAAAUAUGAACAAGUCAUCCAGGAUCCCUCAGCCUUCAGCCUCAGUACUAGGACCUGAUCUCACAUACAGAGGACCAAAACGAACACCAUAAGCUGGGAGUUGUAACACACAAGCAGUGGAUCGCACCAGGGUGAGGCCCAGGGAAGCCAGACAGCUUAAACAGCCCUAAAGGCAAGCCUCUCUGCUCCACCAGGGCACACUCUGCAAGCCAGAGUUUGCAGAGGUUAAGGGGCUAGCUUGAGGGCUGACGACUGAUAAGGGCUUGCAAAAUAACGAAUCCUAAACUCUGUGAUGUUCAUGUUGUGGAGUCCUGAUCUAGAGACAUAGGAAUGGCUGGCGUUGGAAGGCUGAGUACCCUGCAGAAGACAAUGACCUGCUCUUGGGAAAAGGGUUCACACACCCUCACUUCUGUGUGGGACCAAGCCCCAAGGUCAAGAACUCAGUUGAGUGACUGUGUAAAUGGAGGGGGAGUCCCUGGGAUGGAGCACUGAGGAAGGAUAUCCUCACAGGGAUGGAGCUGUAGGCUGGUAGCAGGGGGGAAACCUUUACAGUCUUGGGUGGAUGUUCCUAGUAGGCUCAUCAGCCCCUCCUCCUAGGCCCUGGCUGCCCCUGCCCCUCAGCCCUCGGACUUCAGCCCUCACAGGGCCCCAGGAAACAAACACACACCUGUCCCCAAGCCAUGUGUUCUUUUAAACUUACUUGUUCUCCUAGAUGCCCCAGCUGUAUCUUUGGAUCAAGAUAGGUGACCCCAAAGGCCGCAGUCCACACACUCUUGCUUAGGGACCUGCUGGAGCAAGAAUUCCAGAGCAGGACUGGCCUCAGCGUGCAGGGUCUUCCCCAGUUCCCUGGAGAUCCAGCUUCAUUCCACAUCUCAGUCCUUUCAAAUCUAGAAAAUGCCAAAGAUCACAGGAGUGUAAGGCACAACUGCCUUCUCCAAUGCUUCAAAUGGACAUAAGUAAAGGUUUGACGAGCGGAGUUUGAUCCCUGCGGUCCAGAUGAUGGAAGGAAAGAGAGAACUGAUUCUGGCAAGUUGUCCUCUGAGCUUGAUUUGCACGCGUGCGCGCGCGUGCGCGCACACACACACACACACUAACUGAACAGUUCUAAGCUGGUCCUCUGCUGGGCCUUCCUGAACUAAUUCUCACGGAGGAAAUGUAACGAUACGAAACAUUGCUAGAGGCAGCCUGGAAGUCAGCCUAAGAGUCCCCAGUCACUUGCACUGAACAGCUGAGGUGAGGAAGAUGGUUUCCUGGAAGGACACGUGUCCCCGAAGCCGUGAAAGAAGAGCCUGCUGCCCUUUCUGUCGACAGGGUCUUGCUGCAGUGACAGGCACACAGCACCAUACCAGGCUUCAGAUGGUCCUUUCAGAUCUCCAUCUCCAGCGUUUUCUUUCUCUGCUGUUCUCAGCCUCUUUGGUGAGGUGCAUCAGCCGGUUCCUGAAAGACUCCCCCAGAGGACGCCUUCCUACUAAGAAGCGUUGGCACAAAUAACUGCAAGAAGAAAAGGUGCCGUUCUUUUUGAAGAUUCCCUAUGCCAGGAUCAAAAGUGAUGCUGUGUUAGUCGAAUGAAUUUAUACCUCCCGCCUGCAGAAGACAGAAAAGGCCUCUAAUGGCUUGCCACGUUAUGCCUUUUGGAAGGACACUGUCUCUGUCUAUUAUAACCACUGACUGUGAAAUAAACUUCAGAAACUGAAGGAUCUAACCCAGAACAUCACACAACGGUUAUUCAUUGAAAAGAUGAAGUGCGCUUGGUGAACGGUGCCUGUAUUCCCAGCACAAGAAAAGUGAACCAGGAGGAUCAAAAAUUCCAGGCCUGAAGCUAGGAGUGGUGACAUAUGCCUUUAAUGCUAGCACUCAGAGAGGCAGAGAGCAAGGCUGGCCUCCCGACCCCUUCUGCUGCAGCUGAAGGACAGCAGCUCUUAGGUGGCAGAGACUAUGCCUCUCUCUCCUUCCAAGAUGAGUGGGGUCUGGCAUUCCCAUCGAGUCAUAUCUGGAGGUCAGCUUGGCACACCAUCUGUCUAGGUCUUCGGGCUUGAUCUGGAUUGUAGUGUAUUUCUUGGAGAGGAGAAUGGGAACACACACCAACUAUAUAAGAACAUGUAUGAGCACAGCCUAGCACAGCCAUAAAUGUUUUCAUUUUCAAAUAAUUCAUUUAAAAUAAUGUAUUAAAAAUGAGUGAUGGGCUGGGUAUGUGAUUCAGUGAUAAAGGUCUUGCUGUCAUGGGCAAGGCCCUGGGUUUGAUCCUCAACAUCACAGAAAAAAGAAAAGAAUAAAAGUAGUCAUGACAUUUCAUGUUUAGGAGGCUGAGGCAGGUAGAUCUAAGUUCAAGGCCAGCCUGGACUACAUAGUGAGACCCAGUCUCUAAAUUAAUGAGCAAAUGCUUUGGGUAUGUAGCCUCGUUGUUACGGUGCUUGCCUGGCACAUAUGAGGCCCUGUGUUUGAUCUCCAACACUGCAUAAAGUCAGGGAUAACAAGACCCUGAUAGACAUAUGGGGGUGGGGGAGAAAAGCCUAGAAAAAUAAAAAAUUGAUUUUCUAUUCUGUACACUGUGAACCUUAAAAAAAAAAAAAAAAGAAAUAGAAG